CGGAGCACACCUUUCCUCACAUUUACGGUCCCCGCCGCUACCACACCCAUCUCCCGCUCUGUGCACACCGCGGCGGACACGGACAGAGACCGAGGGGACUCGUGGCCGUGGAAGGAAAGCGUGAUGAAAACUAAAUGCAGUGCACCCAGGUUAAGGGCACAUAUCACCCAAGGAAGCAUCACAAUCGGUGCUUAUCCAGGCACAUGGAAUCUGUAAAAUUCCAAACACAGAACAACAACCUUUACCUCCAUCUUUGCAGCCUGAUGCACAAAGGGGACAACCCAGCCAUUUGCCCCUGGCCCCAGCAAGGCAAACUCCUUCACAGCUACAAACUGUAAGUAAUCGGCCCCGUGCACCAUCACGCCCUGCACAGUUCUCCCAACCAAGGCCGCGCCUUCAACCUGCCGCCUCAGCAGAUGGUGCGCCAUUAGGGCCU